rnacentral:rRNA from 1 species
UACGAAGGGGGCUAGCGUUGUUCGGAAUUACUGGGCGUAAAGCGCUCGUAGGCGGACUAUUAAGUCAGGGGUGAAAUCCCGGGGCUCAACCCCGGAACUGCCUUUGAUACUGGUAGUCUCGAGUCCGGAAGAGGUGAGUGGAAUUCCUGGUGUAGCGGUGGAAUGCGCAGAUAUCAGGAGGAACACCAAUAGCGAAGGCAGCUCGCUGGGACGUUACUGACACUAAGGCGCGAAAGCGUGGGGAGCGAACAGG